UACGUAGGGGGCGAGCGUUGUCCGGAAUCAUUGGGCGUAAAGCGCGUGUAGGCGGCCCGAUAAGUCCGCUGUGAAAGUCCAGGGCUCAACCCUGGAAUGCCGGUGGAUACUGUCGGCUCGAGUCCGGAAGAGGUGAGUGGAAUUCCCGGUGUAGCGGUGAAAUGCGCAGAUAUCGGGAAGAACACCCGUGGCGAAGGCGGCUCUCUGGGACGGUACUGACGCUGAGACGCGAAAGCGUGGGGAGCGAACAGG
rnacentral:rRNA from 1 species